rnacentral:rRNA from 1 species
CCUACGGGUGGCAGCAGUGGGGAAUAUUGCACAAUGGGGGAAACCCUGAUGCAGCAAUGCCGCGUGUGUGAAGAAGUAUUUCGGUAUGUAAAGCUCUAUCAGUGGGGAAGAAGAAAGACGGUACCUGACUAAGAAGCCCCGGCUAACUACGUGCCAGCAGCAGCGGUAAUACGUAGGGGGCAAGCGUUAUCCGGAUUUACUGGGCGUAAAGGGAGCGUAGACGGCUGUGCAAGUCUGAAGUGAAAGCCCGUGGCUCAACCGCGGAACUGCUUUGGAAACUGUAUAGCUUGAGUACUGGAGAGGCAGGCGGAAUUCCUAGUGUAGCGGUGAAAUGCGUAGAGAUCAGGAGCAAUACCAGUGGCGAAGGCGGCCCGCUGGACAGAAACUGACGUUGAGGUGCGAAAGCGUGGGGAGCAAACAGGAUUAGAUACCCGUGUAGUC